rnacentral:rRNA from 1 species
AGCGUAGGAGGCGAGCGUUAUCCGGAGUUACUGGGCGUAAAGCGCGUGUAGGUGGUUGGAUACGUCUGCUGUGAAAUGUCCCGGCUUAACCGGGAGGGUGCGGCAGAUACGGUCUGACUUGAGGGUGACAGAGGAGCGUAGAAUUCCGGGUGUAGUGGUGAAAUGCGUAGAUAUCGGAAGGAACACCAGUGGCGAAGGCGACUGCCUGGACUGAUACUGACGCUGAGGCGCGAAAGCGUGGGGAGCAAACAGG